GAAGAAGCAUCAGCCGCUCUCGACAAUGGUGGCCGGGGAAGAGGUUAGGGAGAAGAGAAUUCCUCGGAAAAGAUAUAGAAUAGUGAAUAGAUCCGCGAGUUCCUUUAUAAACAGAGUACCACGCUAUGGUGGAAUUGAAUAUAUCUGUACUGUAACGAUGAGUCUUGUCCUUGUCCUGCCUUAGUUAUCCUUUAUGCUAGGCUCGGCCUUCAUCGUUACAAUUUGCUCCAGGGUAAAACCUUAGAGCUCAGUAGCGUAAAGAAAUACAACAAGUCCACGCAUUCUGCUGCUUCCUCUUACCACAUUACUUUGAAUUGCUAGACCUCUAGGUAUAUUACAAGACUUUUGUGGUGGUGCUUAUACAACAAGCAAGCCAUCUUACUAAAUCAUCAUCAUUCUCACUUAAACAUUGCUGAAUGAUGAAAUCAAGAGAUGCAGCAGCAGCUUGUACAAAAACUUCUCCCCCAUAGAUACCAUGCCUGAGUGGCCCCCAGAGAAUCCUUUUGAACAUUCAAAGCUGCUGAGUAGUUAUGAGCUGCAAGACAAUGACUGGAUUCGUCUCUACUUGGAACUUGCAGUUUCCACGACUAAUAGGGCCACCGUUAUGGUUCAUGAUGAUCUGUCCAACCUGAUGAUUGUCCAAGUGGUUAUAGAUACUACUCCCCAAGAUGUGGAUUUGGUAUUCAACCGCACAAAUUUUGCAAUUGUCUACAUAAUGUACAAGGACUCGUGUGAGGCUCGAGUUGGUAAGGAUGUUGAUCGCGUAGCUAUAGUCAGAAGAGCCUUCGAUGAGCAGCGGGGAUGCUUCAGUCUUGUGGGCAAGACUCUGAGUUUACCAAAAGAGUGAGCAACUUUUGCUUAGCCUUAUGUCUCAAACGGCAGCUGUUAUCAAGUCCUAGGCGGUUUAAGGCAUAGAAAUACAGUGGGGCAAGAUCCACAUUCGAAUAUGUGGAUUAGUUUGUACAUAUAAAACCAAUAAGUUAUUUGGUGCCUUUGGAAUGUUUUAUCUUUUUUUUUUUUUUUUUUUUUUUUUUUUUUACGUUUAAGUUGCAUUUGGAUUGUUUCUUUUGUGUGGGUUUAGGUUGUGCUUGAAUAAUUUAACAUAGGUUUGUAGUUUUCCUUUUCA